CAAGUGUAGGGACACUUGGCAUUGUGGUCCGUUCGGCAUUAUGAGUCAAUUGAGCAGUGAGUUGUGCCAAUUGAGCUUGAAUGGUCGCAAGUGCCAUGUCUCGCUCCAUUUGUACCUAAAAUCAAAGAAAGAAAAAUAAAUCAAAUAUCAAAAGUAAAAUACACAACACCAAUAUAAACAUAAACAAAAACAAAAAUAAAGGGAUUAGCAAAGUUGCUAAUCCCCGGCAACGGCGCCAAAAUUUGAUGCGCAAAAUAACUUGACACACAAAUUAAACCCUCUUUUUGACAAUUGUAGUAUAGAUGUAAGUAGGGUAUCGUUCUAGGCCGGAGAUUAGGAGGGAUUGCUAAUCUAUUCUAAAUUAAUUUAAAAAUAUUAAACAAGACUCAAGGACUCAAAACUAGGCUAAAAACUCUAAUAACUCGAAACACACUUAAAAUGACUCAAAAUAAUGAAAACAAUCAAAUUAGACACUAGGAAUUGAAAUGGACGGAAAUUGAAUUAAAAGACUAAAAACAAUGAAAACUAACUAAAUAAUAUAAUUUAAUAAUGGAUGGGUGUUUGGUUUUGAUGAAAAGUAAAUUAAACUUAAUUAAAUUACAGAAUUGAUAAAAACAUAAAAUUAAGGUAAAAUGAUAAAUGACGGACUAGCUAGAAGGUUCUUCUCCACACAUGACACAUAUGCAACCUAAAUUGAUUUUCAGUUGUUCUUUCAAUAAAUUGUGAAUCUCAAUACUCCAGAUUAACCGUGAACAACACUUUUUUAAUCUUCAAGUUUUCCUUAAAUUAUUGAAUUGGACAGAAAAACGCAUACAACAAUUCAAAACAUUCUUCAAAAGUCCCCUACGUGAAAAGCACAAUA
rnacentral:lncRNA from 1 species